rnacentral:lncRNA from 1 species
AAUGCACCUGGAUCUUGGUCCAUCUGACUGAAAAAUAAUAUAAUUACUCAGAGUCCAUCCAGUAAAUAUACAUAGACACAUACAUCUACAACUACUAACAAUUAACAACACAUUUAUUGAGUAAAAUAUUAUAAUCAUUGUAUAAAGUACACUUGCUAAAGUUUGUGCACCUUAGGCAGAUAGACAAAGGGACCAUCACUAUUGCAUUAAUAGAUGCAAUUAUGUUGUUUGUAAUUUUUCAAAUCAUGAAAUAAAUCCGACUAGGCUCAUGGGUAUUGCAAGAAAAUUAAUUAAAAAAAAAUCCAAGAAUAAUAUACUCCUAUUAAAUAGAGAAUUUGCAAUACAAGCAAAACAGAUGUCAUACUUAUACUACAGCCAAAUUCCCAGUAUCUGAGACGGGAAAAAAAAUCAAGUCUCGAUUUUCCUUGCUCAGUUUCUUCCCUUUCCUCUUCAUUUACCAAAACCCAAUAGAAAGUUACAGAAGAAAGGGUCCUCAAAUAAGAGAAGUAAAGUAGGAAAAAGUACCAGAAAGCUUGGGACUUUGUGGCCUGGAAAAGAAAAGGAAACUAUUUGCUGAACCACACCCACCAUUAAAGCGUAAUAUAUGAUGUUUCAGAUUCUGCAGUGCCAUUUCGAUUUUUGCUCUCUUCAAACUGGACCAGGGGCAGCCGGGCAGGGAGAAGAGGGAGUGCGAGACCAUACGAGGGGGAGUGGAAUGGAAAGGUUUUGGGACCGUUAAGA